AACAUUUGAUAAUAAAUCAAAUCACAAUAAAAUAAAUUAUAAUUACAUCAAUUUUCAAAUAAGAUAAAUGUUUAAAUAUAUAUAAAAAGAAAAAAAAUCAAAGCGUUAUAUAUUGAAAAAGGGAACGGAGUGGGCAUAUGCGAAGCAUAUAUAUAAGCCACGGAUCAGUAAUUCGCAUGCUUGCCUACGCAUGCGUGCAGGGGCGGCGGCCAUGGCAGCUCGCACGUAAACGUUUGGAUGGGUCUGAAGAAUAUGAGGACGAAGAAGAAUAUGAAACAAAGGAAGAGUGAUCUUUUACUGCAGCAGAACUACAAUUCUGGUGAAAUAUUAUUUGUCGUGCAGCCCCACCGCUCAUCGAUAUCACCGGCCGUGCCACUGGUUGAGCCCCCGUGCGCUCGUUAACCCUGCUCGCGUCAGCCCCGCACUCCUCGGUACCAGGGGCGUCACCGCUGCUCUCCGUCACGAUGGGGUGUGCCGUCGUUGUUCUCCUCGAAAUGAUUGUUGAUUGGUCUUUUUGAUGAAAAAGUAUAUAGAGGACAUUUUUUUUACUUCAAAUGAUACUUCUAAUGAUUGACCAUUGAAGAAUGACUUCCAUGGAACGGCGUCAUAUUUGAUUUGUGACUUAAAAGCAUUGUCUAACUGCUAGAAGUUAGGACCUUAUGUAGAAUUUUAAUUAGUGCACAAGUUUGUACUGUUAUGUAUUAUGUGAAGUAAAGACAUGGAUGUUCAAUGGUAACUUAUGUGCUUUUGUGAAAAUUUUGCAU